rnacentral:rRNA from 1 species
AUUGAACGCUGGCGGCAGGCUUAACACAUGCAAGUCGAACGAGUGGCGGACGGGUGAGUAAUGCUUGGGAAUCUGCCUUAUGGAGGGGGAUAACUACGGGAAACUGUAGCUAAUACCGCGUACCAUAGGAUGAGCCCAAGUGGGAUUAGGUAGUUGGUGGGGUAAAGGCUCACCAAGGCGACGAUCCCUAGCUGGUCUGAGAGGAUGACCAGCCACACUGGGACUGAGACACGGCCCAGACUCCUACGGGAGGCAGCAGUGGGGAAUAUUGCACAAUGGGCGCAAGCCUGAUGUAGCCAUGCCGCGUGUAUGAAGAAGGCCUUCGGGUUGUAAAGUACUUUCAGUCGGGAGGCGUUACCGGCAGAAGAAGCACCGGCUAACUCCGUGCCAGCAGCCGCGGUAAUAC